rnacentral:rRNA from 1 species
CACUCCUACGGGAGGCAGCAGUGGGGAAUAUUGCACAAUGGGCGCAAGCCUGAUGCAGCCAUGCCGCGUGUAUGAAGAAGGCCUUCGGGUUGUAAAGUACUUUCAGCGGGGAGGAAGGCAAUACGGUUAAUAACCGUGUUGAUUGACGUUACCCGCAGAAGAAGCACCGGCUAACUCCGUGCCAGCAGCCGCGGUAAUACGGAGGGUGCAAGCGUUAAUCGGAAUUACUGGGCGUAAAGCGCACGCAGGCGGUCUGUCAAGUCGGAUGUGAAAUCCCCGGGCUCAACCUGGGAACUGCAUUCGAAACUGGCAGGCUUGAGUCUUGUAGAGGGGGGUAGAAUUCCAGGUGUAGCGGUGAAAUGCGUAGAGAUCUGGAGGAAUACCGGUGGCGAAGGCGGCCCCCUGGACAAAGACUGACGCUCAGGUGCGAAAGCGUGGGGAGCAAACAGGAUUAGAAACCCCGGUAGUCCCAUGA